GCCAGGUUCAACUGUGAGAGGUGCGGAAAAAUGUUCCGAUCUUAUCAAGCUCUUGGUGGGCACAGAGUAUACUGCAAAAGAGACAAUGAUGGUGAUUUAAUAGAUCAGAAACCUUUUCACUGCCCAAAUUGCAACAAAGUGUUCAAGUCUGCUCAGGCACUCGGUGGACACAAGAGGGUACACUCUUCCCGUGCUAAUGAAUUUCAAAGUGUGCAACACCCGUAUUGAAUUUUCAAGUCCCCAAUGAUGAUCCUCGAAUUCUCAAAAAGCAAUUGUAGAGAUAGGGAAUUUACAGACUUCAUUUGUGAUUCUGUACACAGUUUUUAACUGUGUUCAGUUCUGAAUGUUCUGAACAAUAAUUCAUUUCAAUCAUUUGGGUUUAUAUUUAUGUAAGAGGAUCUUUUUAAUU
rnacentral:lncRNA from 1 species